UUCUUUUGAGGUAAACACAUACUGUUCUAAUAUACUCUUAAUUCCUCUGAUUUCAUUAAUAUUUUUCACCUUUUAGUUAUUUGAUUGGAUGCUGGACAUUGUGAAUUUUACUUGGUUGAGUAGGUUUUUGGAAUUCCGUGUUUCUGGGAUUUGUUCUGGGAUGUAGUGAAAUUACUUGGCAUCUAUUUGAUCCUUUCAAGGAUCAAAGCAAGUCUGGAGUUGGGUGGUGGCCAGGAUGCCCAGGCCCAGGGGGAGCAGGCAGGAAGGAUUGGAAGGCAGUCAGGUGAGGACUGCAGGUAGGCUCUCUUGGUCCCUUGGGGCACAGAACUUGCUGAUAUAUACAAGGUUUCCUUCCUUAGAGUGUAAUAACGGUUUCUAGUCUGGGUUCGGAUCCUUUUGCAUUAGUGAGCUUUGAAUAGAGUUGAUGGGAUUUUUGUACUAUUAAUAUUCUCUCAAAUUUUUAAGUUUGAAAUUCUUGGCCCCAGGAAGCAUAGCCUCUCUCCCAGGACUUAGAGCCUGAUACAACAGCCAUGUACAGUCCCUGGGUCCCACCUCAAGUUGCCAGGGUCCAGUGGUGUCUAUUCAGACCUGCUUUCCCAGUCUAGAAGGUGGUGUGGGAAUGCAUGCCAAUUCCCAGCCCCCUCCCUGCCCCUGGUCCCCAAAUUCAGUCAUGGUCAGUGUCUACAGCACAACCUUCUGGCAUGGGAGAAGGUCACCUGAGGUUAACCCUUUACUUGUAGGGUCCUUAAUCAAUCUCUGGCUCCUUUGGAACCAUGGACACAGAAUCAGUCCUGGGUGAGUGAGAACCUAUAUGUCAUUUCAGGAAUCAGUGAGUUUCAAGGAUGUGGCUGUGGACUUCACCCAGGAGGAGUGGGGUCAACUAGACUCCGCUCAGAGGGCCUUGUACCAGGAUGUGAUGUUGGAGAACCCCCAGAACCUUCUUGCCCUAGGACCUCCACUGCACAAGCCAGAUGUGAUCUCUCAUCUGGAACGAGGCGAGGAGCCAUGGAGCAUGCAGAGGGAAGUCCCUGGAGGGCCCUGUCCAGAAUGGGAGCUGAAGGCGGUGCCCUCUCAACAGCAGGGCAUUUGCAAAGAAGAAGCGGCCCAGGAGCCCAUCAUGGAGCGGCCCCUGGGCGGGGCUCAGGCGUGGGGGCUCCAGGCAGGUGCUCUGCAGAGGAGUCAGGCUGCGCCCUGGGCGCCCGCACCUGCCAGGGUCUGAGAAGUCCCUGAAGAGGAAUUCCCCCUCAGGUGUCCCCUCUUCUCCCAGCAACGUGUUCCCGAGGGGGGACCCUUGCUGGACACACGCAAGAACGACCAGGCCACGGAGGGCAGAACCAAGUCCCCCGCGAGACUGUGUGCAGGGGAAAACGCCUCCACGCCAAGUGAUCCAGAAAAGUUCCCCCAGGCGCGCCGGCAGCGCGGGGCGGGCGCCGGGGAGGGCGAGUUCGCGUGCGGCGAGUGCGGGAAGGCGUUCCGCCAGAGCUCCUCCCUCACGCUGCACCUGCGCUGGCACAGCCCGGAGAAGGCUUACAAGUGCUAUGAAUGCGGCAAGGCCUUCGCCUGGAGCACCAACCUUCUGGAGCAUCGGCGCAUCCACACCGGCGAGAAGCCGUUCUUCUGCGGCGAGUGCGGGAAGGCCUUCAGCUGCCACUCGUCCCUCAACGUGCACCAGCGCAUCCACACGGGCGAGCGGCCCUACAAGUGCAGCGCCUGCGAGAAGGCCUUCAGCUGCAGCUCGCUGCUCAGCAUGCACCUGCGGGUGCACACGGGCGAGAAGCCCUACCGCUGCGGCGAGUGCGGCAAGGCCUUCAACCAGCGUACACACCUCACACGCCACCACCGCAUCCACAUGGGCGAGAAGCCCUACCAGUGCGGCUCCUGCGGCAAGGCCUUCACCUGCCACUCGUCCCUCACCGUGCACGAGAAGAUCCACAGCGGAGUCAAGCCCUUCUAGUGCAGCGACUGCGAGAAGGCCUUCAACAGCCGCUCGCGCCUCACCCUCCACCAGAGGACGCACACGGGCGAGAAGCCCUUCAAGUGCGCCGACUACUGGAAGGGCUUCAGCUGCCACGCGUACCUGCUCGUGCACAGGCGCAUCCACAGCGGCGAGAAGCCCUUCAAGUGCAACGAGUGCGGCAAAGCCUUCAGCUCCCACGCCUACCUCAUCGUGCACCGGCGCAUCCACACAGGCGAGAAGCCCUUCGACUGCAGCCAGUGUUGGAAGGCCUUCAGCUGCCACUCGUCCGUCAUCGUGCACCAGCGCAUCCACACCGGUGAGAAGCCCUACAAGUGCAGCGAGUGCGGCAGAGCCUUCAGCCAGAACCACUGUCUCAUUAAACAUCAGAAAAUCCACUCCGGGGAGAAGUCGUUUAAGUGUGAGGAAUGUGGGGAGAUGUUCAACUGGAACUCGCACCUCACUGAGCACCAGAGGCUGCACAGCGAGGGGAAGCCCUUGGCCAUCCAGUUCAACAAACACUUGCUCAGCACCUACUACGUGCCUGGCAGCCUGCUGGGUGCAGGGGAUGCUGGACUGAGGGACGUGGACCCCAUGGACGCGCUGGAUGUGGCAAAGCUCUUGUGCGUGGGUCCCCCCCGAGCUGGCAGGAAUUUCUCCCUGGGGAGCAAACCUCGAAACUAACAUGAUGUGCUUUGGUGUCAGUAGCCGCUUUCUGAGCUACACAACAAGGAAAGCACCCUGACCCUCCCUGGCUUCUAGAUCCAGACCACCUUCCUCCAGGUGUGGGAGCCUUGCCUUAUCACCCCAAUCAGGUCUGCAUGCCAGGGUGCCUCCUCUAGUUAAAGUCAGUCACUUCCCCAGAAGGGCCACACUCCAGGAGGAGAGUUGAGAGUCAUUUGAGGUAGUCUUGCCACCUGUUUUCCUUGAUGGGCCUGGAAGUUGUUGACAAGGGGAAAGAUCUUUCUUGCCAAUAAAAAGAAGGGUUAUCGUUGGGUGCCAUGGCUCACACCUGUAAUCUUAACACUAUGGGAGGCCAAGGCAAGGGGAUCACUUGAGCCCAGGAGUCUAAGACCAGUCUGGACAACAUGGUGAGACCUCGUCUCUACAAAAAAUGCAAAAAUUAGCCAGAUGUGGUGGCAUGUCCCUGUGGUCCCAGCUACUCAGGAGGCCGAGGUGGGAGGAUCAUUUGAGCCUAGGAGGUCAAGGCUGCAGUGAGCCAUGAUUCACAGCACUGCACUGCAGCCUGGGUGACAAAGCAAGACCCUGUGUGAAAUGAAAAGGAGGUAUAUCAACUGUCGUAUCCUCGGACGGGCUCCUGACAUGGCUUUAAUCAGGAGUUUCCUCCAUAAACUAUGAUUUUCAGAAAAAUAAAACAAG